UAUGAAGGCCAGGCUGAAGACUUUGCCGGAUUAGCUGAGAGGUGGUGCAUGGCCGUCGUCAGUUCGUACUGUGAAGCAUCCUGUUAAGUCAGGCAACGAGCGAGACCCACGCCCACAGUUGCCGGCAUGUCCUCCGGGAUGAUGGGGACACUGUUGGGACCGCUCUGCUAAAGAGGAGGAAGGAAUGGGCAACGGUAGGUCAGCAUGCCCCGAAUUAUCCGGGCUACACGCGGGCUACAAUGGUCAGGACAAUGGGUAUCGACACCGAGAGGUGGAGGCAAUCUCCUAAACCUGUCCUUAGUUCGGAUUGUGGGCUGCAACUCGCCCACAUGAAGCUGGAAUCCGUAGUAAUCGCGUUUCAAAAUAGCGCGGUGAAUAUGUCCCUGCUCCUU
rnacentral:rRNA from 1 species